AGAGAGAGACAUGCGCGCAUAUCAAUAAGCGGAGGAAAAGAAACUAACAAGGAUUCCCCUAGUAACGGCGAGUGAAGCGGGAAGAGCUCAAAUUUGAAAUCUUAAAGGGUUUCCCUUUACGAAUUGUAGUUUAAAGAAGUGUUUUCUGUUGAGGUUUUGGUAAAAGUUCUUUGGAAUAGGACAUCAUAGAGGGUGAGAAUCCCGUAUUUGACCUUUACUUUCAACUUUGUGAUACACUUUCAAAGAGUCGGAUUGUUUGGGAAUGCAGUCCAAAAUGGGUGGUAAAUUUCAUCUAAAGCUAAAUAUUGGCGAGAGACCGAUAGCGAACAAGUACCGUGAGGGAAAGAUGAAAAGAACUUUGAAAAGAGAGUUAAACAGUACGUGAAAUUGUCAAAAGGGAAGCGUUUGACACCAGUGUUGUUUUUCUGAAAAUCAAUUAAAGAACUGUUUAUGCUAAGUUGUUUAGACUUUAUCAGCUAACUGUUUAGUUUUGAGCUUUUCUUUAAUGCACUUUUCAGUUAACAAGUCAACAUCAAUUUCUUUUGCUGUAAAAAAGCUUGAGGAAGGUGGCUUGAGAUUCGUCUUAAGUGUUUAUAGCCUCUUGCCUAUGCAGUCGGAGAGAUUGAGGUCCUGCAGCGUAGAUCCUUCGGGGCUAAAUGCAUUCGUGCUAAGUUAUAGCAUUUUAUAGACAACUUGUUGACUAUGAUUUGUCUUGUAGCUUACUCGCUUAUGUUAUUUUACCUACGCUUAGGAUGUUGACGCAUGAGAUAUACGC
rnacentral:rRNA from 1 species